CCUACGGGAGGCAGCAGUGAGGAAUAUUGGUCAAUGGACGAGAGUCUGAACCAGCCAAGUAGCGUGAAGGAUGACUGCCCUAUGGGUUGUAAACUUCUUUUAUAUGGGAAUAAAACGUUCCACGUGUGGGAUUUUGUAUGUACCAUAUGAAUAAGGAUCGGCUAACUCCGUGCCAGCAGCCGCGGUAAUACGGAGGAUCCGAGCGUUAUCCGGAUUUAUUGGGUUUAAAGGGAGCGUAAGGAGAUUGUUAAGUCAGUUGUGAAAGUUUGCGGCUCAACCGUAAAAUUGCAGUUGAAACUGGCAGUCUUGAGUACAGUAGAGGUGGGCGGAAUUCGUGGUGUAGCGGUGAAAUGCUUAGAUAUCACGAAGAACUCCGAUUGCGAAGGCAGUUCACUGGACUGCAACUGACACUGAGGCUCGAAAGUGUGGGUAUCAAACAGGAUUAGAUACCCCAGUAGUC
rnacentral:rRNA from 1 species